UUCAUUUGAAGGUUAUUAACUCUUUAAAGCUUAGUAGUAUAGUUUAAAUAUUAUUUUCUUAUUGAGUUUCAUAGAGCUCAUCAUUUUUAUGUUGGGACCUCUCAAAUGAUGAUUGCGAUGAGUUACAUGCAGUGUUGUCCCUCAAAGCUUACCUCGAUCCUUCUUUGGAUCCUCAAAGUAUUUACGAGUGCUUAUUUUGUCCGUGCUCUGAUGAAAAAUAUUUUGUAAUUAAAUAACUUUUGUGUAUAUCUAUUUGAUGAC
rnacentral:lncRNA from 1 species